rnacentral:rRNA from 1 species
CAGCCGCCACGGGAAUACAGAGGGUGCGAGCGUUAAUCGGAUUUACUGGGCGUAAAGCGUGCGUAGGCGGCUUUUUAAGUCGGAUGUGAAAUCCCUGAGCUUAACUUAGGAAUUGCAUUCGAUACUGGGAAGCUAGAGUAUGGGAGAGGAUGGUAGAAUUCCAGGUGUAGCGGUGAAAUGCGUAGAGAUCUGGAGGAAUACCGAUGGCGAAGGCAGCCAUCUGGCCUAAUACUGACGCUGAGGUACGAAAGCAUGGGGAGCAAACAGGAUUAGAUACCCCGGUAGUCCCUGUCUCUUAUAA